CAGCGCCGGGGCGGCCGCGCCAUGUCCGGUGUUGCAGCGCCCCCCGGCGGCCGCGCCGCCCCCGGUGCCCGGCAUGGCGGGUCCCUCAGCCCCGGCCGUGGGGACGCGAGGGCCGAGCCCCGUCUCCGCAGUGUCCGCCCUGCUCUCCCUCCGGAUGGGCGACAGGCAUCAUCUACAGGAUCAGGGAGUGCAGUAUUAUGCCCUACAACAUGAUGAUGAGUAAUUCAGGCAAAACCACCUGCAGAUGCUCCUUCUCUCAUUCUUGCUCCCCUCCCUUGGAAAUCUGUGGCAGCAUUUGAUUCAGACAAAGAGUCCUGCAAAAAAUUGGGAAGAGCAGAUUCUUGGAUAGCAAAUGAGACAACUGCUCACCUAUUUUUUUAUGUCAUUUAAUAAAUUUUUCAGCAAAUGUUCAA